rnacentral:rRNA from 1 species
UACGUAGGAUGCAAGCGUUGUCCGGAUUUACUGGGCGUAAAGCGCGCGCAGGCGGCACUCUAAGUACGUCGUGAAAUAUCCCGGCUCAACCGGGAGGGUGCGAUGUAGACUAGGGAGCUAGAGGGUCGGUAGAGGGGGGGUGGAAUUGCUGGUGUAGCGGUGAAAUGCGUAGAGAUCAGCAGGAACACCCGUGGCGAAGGCGGCCCCCUGGGCCGUACCUGACGCUGAGGCGCGAAGGCUAGGGGAGCGAACGGGG